AUGUUUUUCUUCGCUGUUACGAGGUUGCACACGAACCGUACGAAAUGUCACAAGCCGAUGUUUCAAAAUAAAGAAUGUGAUGCCAGUGUUGGUUCUAUUGCUAAAGCGUUUGUCCCCACUGGCAUGCUCAACUCAGACAGUGCUGACGUUGUUUUAUAUUCUCUACGUCAGAAGUACCGAGACACUGACAAGUUGAUAGUUCCCAGAUGGACCAAGAUCCGUGAUGGAAAUAUUGAUUCCAAUGUGCUAAAUUGGUUCACGAGAUCGUGUGCUGAUGGUUUUGACCAAUCGAGUGAUGCAGUUAGAUUCUUAAGGACUAUGACAGAUAACAUAAAGAAGCUUUGGAGGGAGUCUAGCGUAGACAGGGCGAAACCGUUCUCGCCGGCCCAUAUUGAUGGUUUCUCUUGCGAGUUUGUGCGGGUGCCGCAGCAGAAAAACACGCAUGAUUGUGGAUUCUUUAUGCUACAAAGCUGCAAGACCUAUCAUUGCCGGGAGGAUGGUGUGAUUGAAGUGAGUGGCUGGAUCUUAAUGAGCAUGACUACAGGAUCUUUGGCAGCCAGUUCUCGGAGCUCGAGCGCGUAUCUAUUGAUCUUAGCCAGGGGCGUUCUCCAGAAAAGACAAGGUCUGGUGUUAUUAAGGGGCGGUUGGGAGCUCUGA
rnacentral:rRNA from 1 species